rnacentral:rRNA from 1 species
AUGCACGUGGUCGCACCUGAGUCGUCGUACACUUCACGGGUCUGGAAGAGGAACUUGGCGCCCAAGGGUGUUGAAGUUGCAGUCUUCACGUCAACGAGAACAUGCAGCGAAGGAGGGGGCUCGAGCAGGGAGGUGGAGCACAGAAGGCGGCUGGAGAUGGCAGAUUGUCAGCAGGCAGAGGGCCGACGGGAGGAGGCAGGCGAGGUGGAUGUCCAUGGCAGCAGAAGGAGAAGCACUAGGCUGGACCGUGCAGCAGCGGGCGAGGGACUCCGGGACGGCAUGGAGGUCGAGGAAGAUGAGCUCGAGGCGGCGCUGGAGCAUGGUGGCAUGGAGGCCAGACGAAGCAGGAAGGCUCAAUGGAGGUCGCCGGCACGGAGAAGUCGCAGGCGAGGUGCGGGUGUAGCAGAGGAGACGAGGCGCCGCUUGGGGCUCAGGGUCGCGGGGAAGGAGCAGCUCCGGUGGUGCGGCGCCGGAGACGGCAGGGGAGCGACGUCCUGGGGCAGCACGGCGAGGCGAAGGCCGACGGCAGCGAGAAGGCUCCGGCCUGGUACACUUCUCCGGCGAGGGCGGAGCAUGGGUUCUGGCACUAGAGGCACGCGGGUGCGAGAGCGAGGGGAUCUGGCGCGAUGCGCUGGGUUCCUAGCGGCGCGAAGGAAAGAGAGGGAGUCGAGGGGAGAGAGAUAUGGCGCAAGUGAACGAGGGGGAUGA